GACGAACGCUGGCGGCGUGCCUAAUACAUGCAAGUAGAACGCUGAAGGAGGAGCUUGCUUCUCUGGAUGAGUUGCGAACGGGUGAGUAACGCGUAGGUAACCUGCCUGGUAGCGGGGGAUAACUAUUGGAAACGAUAGCUAAUACCGCAUAAUAGCAGUUAUUGCAUGAUAACUGUUUGAAAGGUGCAAUUGCACCACUACCAGAUGGACCUGCGUUGUAUUAGCUAGUUGGUGGGGUAACGGCUCACCAAGGCGACGAUACAUAGCCGACCUGAGAGGGUGAUCGGCCACACUGGGACUGAGACACGGCCCAGACUCCUACGGGAGGCAGCAGUAGGGAAUCUUCGGCAAUGGACGGAAGUCUGACCGAGCAACGCCGCGGGAGGGAAGAAGGUUGUCGGAUCGGAAAGCUCUGUUGUAAGAGAAGAACGAGUGUGAGAGUGGAAAGUUCACACUGUGACGGUAUCUGACCAGAAAGGGACGGCUAACUACGUG
rnacentral:rRNA from 1 species